GCGCGUUGCCUCGCUCGCAUUGAGUUUAGGCGCCUGAAGGGGAAGGAGCUCUUGUGGGGGAGGGGAGCGCUGCGCAGCCUCGCCUCAGGCGGAGCGGGGAGGGCGCGAGCAGGGGAGGCAAGCCGAGGCGGGCCGCCAGCUCAAGGCUCCAUUGCAAUGCCCUGCGUGGCCCUCCCCCCGCCCGCCCCGCGGCAUGUCUUCUUCUUUUCACUCUCAUUUCAGUCUCGCGAAGCAGCCCUGAGAGGACGCGCGAGGAGCCCCUCGAGAGCCGUGCAUGCUGGAAGGGGGGGUUGCUGUGAGGCGGGUUUCUAGCGCUCCCCACACAGCUCUGAGAGAGGCGACUUCGGCGGGGAGAGAAGAGGGGCGGCCUGGAAAGAGCCCCUUGGUGCUUCAGUGGCAACGUGGUAGCCUGUAAAUAUUGCCCCCAGCCCUGUGAGCAGGAGGCUCCCCUGUCUGGAAGGUGGUGGCUCCCUCCAAAGAGCUUGGGUGUUUCCAGGGUUUGAUUAUGGAUGGCUUCCCCCACCCGUUGUCUCUAUAUGCUGCUUGGAAUAUUGUUUAAAUACAGACUUACAAUAUUUGUAAAAACUAAAACAAAAAUAGGCUUUAAAUAGGAUAAAAUAAAACAAGAAUAGGUUAAAAUCUAAAAGAAUAGGAUAAAAUCUUUUUAAAAAUCUAGCACAGUAUAAUAAAGGAAAUAUUAAUUUAAUUAGGGAAAGUUAACAAAAAUAGUGUGAAGCAUUUUCAAAGCAGGUUAGAUACUUUAGAACUAGUGUAUUAAAAUAUUCAAAGUAGCAUAUGGAAAUAAUGAAAAAAGCUUAUCCACAAUAAAAACCUGAAACCCCAGAAAGCAUAGGAUUUAUUUCUCAUAGCAGUCCCUAAGAUGGCUUGGCUGUAGCCCCUCACAGCUAAGAUGGGUACCCUGACACCCAUUACUCAGAGCAGCCUGCAAAGGAGCUAGAGGAUUACUUUCUUAUAUGGACUCCCAUGUUUUUGCUUUGAAUAACCCUUGAUUUAGUCAGAGGAUCGCUUUCUUGUUCUAGACUGUAUCUCAUUGCUCUACAUGGCCUCUCAUUUAGUAGGAGUGUGCCUUUCUCCUAGAUUUUACACUUUGGUUCUAAGAAGCCCCUGAAUAGUGGUGAAAUGGCAUAUCUGACUCGCCCAGACAAUCAGCUUGGUCUGCCCUGCCCGUGGAGGAAAGGAUGGAUGGUGGGACAUCCAACCAGCCCAGAUAAUCAGCUUGGUCUGCUCCGCCCGCAGAGAAAGCAAGGACAGUGGAAAUGCAGCAUCCUUGACCUCUUCAAGCAGUGUGGUGUGCUGAGCAGGCUCGGCUGGCUGAAGGGACAUGGUUGAAGAGGCAAGAAAACAAGUCCUGAAGGCUUAAUAUUUGAGGUCUGGUUCUCCUUAUUUAUUUAUUUAUACCAUUUAUAUACUGCCCCAUCCAAACAGGUCUAGUUGUCUCAUUUUUGGCUUGGACUCCUUGAUGAACAGAGAUUUUUAAAAAUUUAUUGUUAGAUUUAUAUAACGCCUUUCAUUAAAAACAAUCCCAAGGAGAUGGUCUUUAAUAAGCCAUUCAAAAGAGAGUAAAGAGUAAAGGUCUUGAAACUUAUUCUUGAAACUUAUGAAGCUUUUUCCUUUGUUUCGGAGGCGAAGGGGAGAAAAGAUAAAGUAGUGCAAGAGGAGGAAGAAAAACAAGCAGAAAGGAGCAACAGGAGACAUGAAAAGGGAAGAAGUAGAAAUGAUUAUUUUUCAAGAUGCUUCACAGAAGAAAUGGAAAGGUUCUGCUUCUACAAAUUGGAUGGCUUGAUUGCUGACUUUCUCCCUGCCAUGUAUCACUCUGAGUUCCUGGAGCUUGGCUUUCUUGUGCUGAACUUAAUGUCCCGGCACUGAGGAACCCCUAAAAACGCAAAGGUGAGAAUGGAGAGAAGAAAGAGGUGCAGGAGGAGGAAGAGAAAGGAGCAGAAAGGCGCAAGAGGAGACGUGGAAAGGCACCGGAGGAGACUGGCUCUCCAGGAGCUUUACCGAAGGAAGGGGCAGGCUGUGCUUCCACCACUUAAGAGAACAGGAGCAAGAUUGAAGGAAGAACUGCAGAUCAAGGAGAAAGAACAUCAGCAAGUUGGCACAGGAGCCCUGAAAACUUCCUGGAGAAGCAGGAGGAGACGACUCGAUAACAAGAAGCAGGAGAGAAGAAACGUGCAGGCUCCCCUCCUCGGAGCUGGCUGGCUGGCUUCAUGCUUUUCUUUAUGACUUAUUGUAUUCUGUCACAUACAAUAUCCCCACAGUGCUGUGAGGCAGCUGCCACCUGAAGAUGGUGGCUCUCUCCAAAGGACUUGCAUUUUUGGCACAGCUCCUCAUAGCCUGUCAGCUGGUGGGGGUCUCCAAAGAGUGGCAUGCUUGAGGGGCCGUUUUCUGGCAGUUCAAUCUUCAGGCCUGGCCUUGUGUCUCUGCUGCUUCCUGCUCAGAGAAGUGCCCAAGAUACUUGGAGUGUGGUUUUAUAUCUCUGUUGCAGAUUGCUCAGAGCAGCCACUGGCCUUGGGGGUGUCCAGGGUUUUAUCCUGGAUGGCUUCUCCCUGCACACCGCCCCCCCCCACAUUAUUUCUGUGUGCUGCUUACAAUAUUGUUUAAAUACAAACUUAAAAUAGGUUAAAAACUAAAACAAAAAUAGUUGUUGCCCAGGAUAACAUCUAAGAGGCUAGGAUAAAACCUAAAAAAGAAUAAAUGAGUGUAGGUAAUAUGAGUAGGAUAACAUCUAAAAAGAAUGAAGUAGUGUAGUAUAAUAUAAGAAAUAUGUUCUGUUAAUUAGGGAGGCUAAUGGAAAGUGGAAUGAAGCAUUAUCAAAGCAGAUUAGCUAUUUUAGACCAACUAGUGUAUUAAAAUAAUAUUCAAAGCAGCAUAUGGAAAUGAUGAGAAAAAGCACAUUGAGACUAAAAGCCUGAAAGGCCAGAACACACUCCUAGCCCCAGUCCCUCAGGUAGCUCUUAAGUGGCUCCAGGUCUCUUCCUGCUAGGAUCCUACAGACUUUCUCCCCUUGAUCCAAAGGGGUGUGGGGUGGGAUUUGAUGUAGAAAUAAAGAUCAAUGUUAAUUGUCUUGGUAUAGCUUUGCUUACUGACAUGCUUAUAGGAUGCUGAAGAUGGUGUUUCUGUCAAGCACACAGAAUUGAUCCUUAUUUCAAGUUGUCUUAAUCUGUGUUUUAUUGUAAAUGGCCCAGAGACAUGAGUUUUGGGCAAUAUACAAAUAUGCUAAAUAAAAAGUCGUCAAUAUUGUCUGCUAGAA